AACGCACAUUGCGCCCCUUGGUAUUCCAGGGGGCAUGCCUGUUUGAGCGUCAUUUCCUUCUCAAAUAGAAAUAUUUGGUUGUGAGUGACACUCUCUCUGAGUUAGCUUGAAAUUGUUGGCCGUUUAGUGUCAUGAUUGCAGUUAAUUUUGUUCUAUGGAAAUAGGAUUUUGUUAAUUUGUCGUAUUAGGUUUUACCAACUCGGCGAAGAAGUCUUAUUAACGCAGGAUAGAUUGGUUGCGAGGGCACGGCAAACAGUACUCUUUAAGUUUGACCUCAAAUCAGGUAGGAAUACCCGCUGAACUUAA
rnacentral:misc_RNA from 1 species